AUCGCUUCUCGGCCUUUUGGCUAAGAUCAAAGUUUAGUUUCUGUUCUUAUCGAAUUAACCUUCGAUAGAGAUUCGAAUGAGUCUCGUUAAGGUUAUUUGAUUUUUGGGACUGCUGCUUUGCUCGCACCCCAUCGCGGGUUGGCCUAGCGUUGCACUGCUGCUGGGAUCGGCCCACCUCCU
rnacentral:snRNA from 1 species